CCUACGGGAGGCAGCAGUGAGGAAUAUUGGUCAAUGGACGAGAGUCUGAACCAGCCAAGUAGCGUGAAGGAUGACUGACCUAUGGGUUGUAAACUUCUUUUAUAAAGGAAUAAAACGAGGCACGUGUGCCUUUUUGCAUGUACUUUAUGAAUAAGGAUCGGCUAACUCCGUGGCAGCAGACGCGGUAAUACGGAGGAUCCGAGCGUUAUCCGGAUUUAUUGGGUUUAAAGGGAGCGUAGAUGGGUUGUUAAGUCAGUUGCGAAAGUUUGCGGCUCAACCGUAAAAUUGCAAUUGAUACUGGCAGUCUUGAGUACAGGUGAGGUAGGCGGAAUUCGUGGUGUAGCGGUGAAAUGCUUAGAUAUCACGAAGAACCCCGAUUGUGAAGGCAGCUUACUAAACUGUGACUGACAUUGAUGCUCGAAAGUGUGGGUAUCAAACAGGAUUAGAUACCCUAGUAGUC
rnacentral:rRNA from 1 species